AUGCCUUAAACUAAUGAGUAAGGGAAAUAACAAGCUGUGAUGAUAUCUGGUUCCUCAUGUGAGAAGAAUUUUUGUUUGGGUACAGGUUGUUCCUCAAAGGACUUGUGUACUUGCAUGGGACCUCUAGGUGCAGUGAUCUGCCUG
rnacentral:snRNA from 1 species